CUCCUGGUGGUCCACUGGUUAGGACACUGCACUUUAACUGCAAGGGACCCAGGUUCGAUCCCUGGUAGGGGA
rfam:TPA: Bos taurus chromosome 8, whole genome shotgun sequence.